UUAUUCAAAGCAUCAUGAAGAACAAUACCUACAUAUCUACUGCAGACAAGGUUGAGGCAUUAUUUGACUUAAUAAAAGGGCUUAUCAAGGAUAUGGAUGAGAUUCAAGAUGAGGACGAUUUCAAGGAGGGGAAAAAUUCGGUUGCUUGCCUCAUUCACAUGCUGUACAAUGAUGAUCCAGAGGAGAUGCUGGAGGAAGGGAAUUGAUUGAUCUGUGAUUAAAGGAUACUGGAACCCUCAAAGCUGCAACACAAUUUCGAAGGGAGUGCUUUUCUCUUCCGAAUGCACAAGCUUUGUUAAAUGUGAUUAUAGGUUGAUGUUGUCAUUUACCUUUGAUAGAGCUGAGUUUGUAAUUUUAUAUUUAUUUGCAUAAAAGUUAAUGAAAGAUUUUUAUGUUAACUAGAUGUUAUUAUUUUUUAAACAUUAAGAUUUAAUGAUUAAUGAUUUAUGAGAUCGCA